UGUUGUGUAUGUUAAAUUAAUCAAAGGGAAACAUGUCACUUCUACCAUGAAUAAUUAUGUUUUGUGAUUGGGCAUAAUGAAGUUAUGUAACUUUGGCAUGAUGCCCAAUAACCAACGACUUCCCAAAUCCAGUAAUGUUGUCACAACCUAAUUCCUUUGGAUAAGAUGACCAAUGGCUUUUACAACGCCAGAACAGAUGGUGGCAGUAGUGUGCGGAUUGUGUGUGGCAGCCGGAAACAACGAGCUUGCCGAGUUCUUUGACUGAAUACAUAUCCGCGGACACUCUGAAGGCGGCAUUCAAGAUGUUUGUAGGGUCCUCACCUCAGCUACCUCUCACAAGGUGCCCCUGAAAAAGAAAUUCAAGACGUUUGGGUCCUCAGCUCAACUGACCAAGACCUUUGCUCAUUGAAGGCAUGAAGUAAUUUGUGAUGCCCCCACGAUUGCAGUUUUUAAAUCCAGAUGGCUUGCUCUUUUUAACAUGUGCGAGAGCUGGAUGGUCUUUCAACAACACUGCUCCGGGUCUUCAGCAAGAAAGGAGCUUCUCAUGCAAGGAAGACACAGAGGAUCCUGGUGCCCAUGACUCAGACUGACAACAUUGAUGUGAACAGGGAGUGCAUGCUGAGGAGCUGACGGUCUACCUGAAUGAAGAGCCAGACAAAGUGGAUGUUGAUCUGGACGGUCCAGCUGAAACGUAUUGUCUUCGUGUGCGUGUGAUCGGCAGAGAGUCCGCAACGACAUUGGUAACGUACCUGUGGCCAUUGCAGUGAUUGUUUUGGUUUAU